rnacentral:lncRNA from 1 species
AUACAAGUUACGAUCAUUUGAAAACACAUAUUAAACAGCCAAAUGGGUGCACAAGAGCUAAAAUAGGAGUCAUAGAUCCUAUUGACAACAAUUAUCUGCCCAAUUUUAUUGAUUUUGUAACAUUUGUUUCAAAUAUGACCAACUUCUUAUCCAAAAUCACCAGCACCGUAUCAGGACCCACCAGCACAAUCACAGGACCCACCAGCACAGUAUCAGGACAUGAAUAAAUUGAGAAAAUGCUAAAUUUUAAUAAAUUGCAAUGUUUUUUUCACAAAAUAGUUUUGUCGUGUGGAUUGCGGUAUAGAAAGCGGACUCUAUGAGCAUUUUUGUUUAAUUUUUUCAGUUUGAGAUUUUCUGAAAAUGAGCAUUUUUGUGUUACGCUUACUGAAACAGUUUAGAGGGUCAACUUUUUAAUGGUUUACAUAGGAACCCAUAAGAAACAAAAUUGAAAAAUCUCAACUGUUUUCUUCCAUUUUUUAUGAGUGAAAACGUCAAAAAUCAUAAUUUUCGUCUUUGUUUACAUUUUUUCAUUGAUCACCAGCACCCGUCAGGACCGAAUCACCAGCACAGAACGUUCUCUCGCAGGACAACCAUACCCACCGUGCUUUCGCUACGGAUAUCACUUGUUGUGUUCGUAUCAAAAACAUAUGGAAAUUUCAAGAUAAGAAUAACAAAAUAUCGUGUUCAAUAUUCAUACGGAAAAAAACGAAUACAAUCCAGUGGUUUUGUUUAUCUGUUUCCUAUCAGCCAAAUAUAAUUGUGUGUGAUAUGUUAUCUAAUUACCCUAAAUAGAAUUUUUCGUAAAAGUAGUGUGUUUAUAAAAAUCGGCAAAGUAUAUUACCUGGAUUAGAUUCUUGGACUUGACUAAACUAAUCUGGACAGUAUUUGGACUGGACUGGCAUGUUUUUUUUUAAUGAUAAACAUUCACUUAUCAGUCAGGAUUCUACUUCGUCAAAAUUAUCUCCUCAUUACGCCAGUUCAUUUUCAUAAUCGUAGAAAUGGAAGCCAUUGUAGGGAUGACGCGCUGCCA